GAGGAAAGUUGAAAAGAACUUUGAAGAGAGAGUUCAAAAGCGCGUGAAACCGCUUAGAAAUAACACGGACGGAGCCAUUUGUGGCCCGCCGGAAUCAGUCGGUACGAUACGAAGCGGCCUGGUCGAUUCGGUACGAUAAGUUCGUUCGAUCAGGUACGAAUAGGCGACGUUCGUUCGAUGCAUUUCCGGUAGGUAUGCACCACGACCGAUGCGAACGGCUGGCGAAACUGGCGAAUUGAGGGCGACAUUGAUUCAUUUCAAAGUCGUGUACAGGCCGCUGGUCUUUAGUCGCCAGACUGUGAGGCAUCGAGCGCCACGAAUACGAACCCCGGCGAACUAUAUAGCGCUUGACUAAUCGGCGGAAAGGGGGCGGUCGAUUCGUUAGCCUGCUCGCAGGCUAAUGGUCGUACACGUCGUCGCUAGAAACCGAGGUCGACGUUUAGGGGUCUCGGCGUCAGUGGUGUCCGAGAUGGUCAACCGUCCGACCCGUCUUGAAACACGGACCAAGGAGUCUAACGUAUAUGCGAGCUAAUGGGUAGAAAACCUAUAAGCGAAAUGAAAGUGAAAGCCGUUUCGGACGGCCAAGGGUACGAUCCCGUGUAAGGACGAAAUCGGCCUGCGGGCGCAGUACCGUCCCGUCCCGAUCGCUCGUCGAUAGGGCGGAGACUGAGUAUAUACGUUGGGACCCGAAAGAUGGUGAACUAUGCCUGAGCAGAGCGAAGUCAGAGGAAACUCUGAUGGAGGUUCGUAGCGGUUCUGACGUGCAAAUCGAUCGUCAGACUUGGGUAUAGGGGCGAAAGACUAAUCGAACCAUCUAGUAGCUGGGUUCCU
rnacentral:rRNA from 1 species